CAUGCAGUCGACGGUGCACAGAGAGCUUGCUCUCUGGGUGACGAGCGGCGGACGGGUGAGUAAUGUCUGGGAACUGCCUGAUGGAGGGGGAUAACUACUGGAAACGGUAGCUAAUACCGCAUAACGUCUUCGGACCAAAGUGGGGGACCUUCGGGCCUCACGCCAUCAGAUGUGCCCAGAUGGGAUUAGCUAGUAGGUGGGGUAAUGGCUCACCUAGGCGACGAUCCCUAGCUGGUCUGAGAGGAUGACCAGCCACACUGAACUGAGACACGGUCCAGACUCCUACGGGAGGCAGCAUUGGGGAAUAUUGCACAUGGGCGCAGGCUUGAUGCACCCAUGCCGGGUGUGUAAGAAG
rnacentral:rRNA from 1 species